GGAGCAGGCGGCACUAAGGGUCUGUGGUGAAAGAUCGAAGCUUAACUUCGGUAAGCCAUGGAAACCGUAGAGCUAGAGUGUGUGAGAGGAUCGUGGAAUUCCAUGUGUAGCGGUGAAAUGCGUAGAUAUAUGGAGGAACACCAGUGGCGAAGGCGACGAUCUGGCGCAUAACUGACGCUCAGUCCUGAAAGCGUGGGGAGCAAAUA
rnacentral:rRNA from 1 species